rnacentral:sRNA from 1 species
CUUUUGGAAGUAAAAAAUCGUAACAAGGUUUCCGUAGGUGAACCUGCGGAAGGAUCAUUACCGAGUGAGGGCCCUCUGGGUCCAACCUCCCACCCGUGUUUAUUUUACCUUGUUGCUUCGGCGGGCCCGCCUUAACUGGCCGCCGGGGGGCUUACGCCCCCGGGCCCGCGCCCGCCGAAGACACCCUCGAACUCUGUCUGAAGAUUGUAGUCUGAGUGAAAAUAUAAAUUAUUUAAAACUUUCAACAACGGAUCUCUUGGUUCCGGCAUCGAUGAAGAACGCAGCGAAAUGCGAUACGUAAUGUGAAUUGCAAAUUCAGUGAAUCAUCGAGUCUUUGAACGCACAUUGCGCCCCCUGGUAUUCCGGGGGGCAUGCCUGUCCGAGCGUCAUUUCUGCCCUCAAGCACGGCUUGUGUGUUGGGCCCCGUCCUCCGAUCCCGGGGGACGGGCCCGAAAGGCAGCGGCGGCACCGCGUCCGGUCCUCGAGCGUAUGGGGCUUUGUCACCCGCUCUGUAGGCCCGGCCGGCGCUUGCCGAUCAACCCAAAUUUUUAUCCAGGUUGACCUCGGAUCAGGUAGGGAUACCCGCUGAACUUAAGCAUAUCAAUAAGCGGAGGA